GUGCCAGCCGCCGCGGUAAUACGUAGGGUGCGAGCGUUGUCCGGAAUUAUUGGGCGUAAAGGGCUCGUAGGCGGUUUGUCGCGUCGGGAGUGAAAACACCGGGCUUAACUCGGUGCUGGCUUUCGAUACGGGCAGACUAGAGGUAUUCAGGGGAGAACGGAAUUCCUGGUGUAGCGGUGAAAUGCGCAGAUAUCAGGAGGAACACCGGUGGCGAAGGCGGUUCUCUGGGAAUGUCCUGACGCUGAGGAGCGAAAGUGUGGGGAGCGAACAGGAUUAGAUACCCCCGUAGUCC
rnacentral:rRNA from 1 species